rnacentral:rRNA from 1 species
UACCAGCAGCCCAAGUGGUGAUCGCUAUUAUUGGGCCUAAAGCGUCCGUAGCCGGGUUGGUAAACCCUUGGGUAAAUCGUCCAGCUCAACUGAACGAAUUCCGAGGAGACUGCCAACCUUGGGACCGGGAGAGGUCGGAGGUACUCCAGGGGUAGGGGUGAAAUCCUGUAAUCCUUGGGGGACCACCGGUGGCGAAGGCGUCCGACUAGAACGGGUCCGACGGUAAGGGACGAAGCCCUGGGUCGCAAACCGGAUUAGAUACCCGGGUAGUCCAGGGUGUAAACGCUGCGGGCUUGGUGUUGCGGGUCCUACGAGGGCGCGCAGUGCCGGAGAGAAGUUGUUAAGCCCGCCGCCUGGGGAGUACGCUCGCAAGAGUGAAACUUAAAGGAAUUGGCGGGGGAGCACCGCAACGGGUGGAGCGUGCGGUUU